UUAAAAGUUNGGGGCUUAACCCCGUGAUGGGAUGGAAACUGCUGAUCUAGAGUAUNGGAGAGGAAAGUGGAAUUCNUAGUGUAGCGGUGAAAUGCGUAGAUAUUAGGAAGANCACCAGUGGUGAAGGCGACUUUCUGGACGAAAACUGACGCUGAGGCGCGAAAGCCAGGGGAGCGAACGGGAUUAGAUACCCCGGUAGUCCUGNCCGUAAACGAUGGGUACUAGGUGUAGGAGGUAUCGACCCCUUCUGUGCCGGAGUUAACGCAAUAAGUACCCCGCCUGGGGAGUACGACCGCAAGGUUGAAACUCAAAGGAAUUGACGGGGGCCCGCACAAGCGGUGGAGUAUGUGGUUUAAUUCGACGCAACGCGAAGAACCUUACCAGGUCUUGACAUUGAUGGACAGAACCAGAGAUGGUUCCUCUUCUUCGGAAGCCAGAAAACAGGUGGUGCACGGUUGUCGUCAGCUCGUGUCGUGAGAUGUUGGGUUAANNNNNNNNNNCGAGCGCAACCCCUAUCUUAUGUUGCCAGCACUUUGGGUGGGGACUCAUGAGAGACUGCCGCAGACAAUGCGGAGGAAGGCGGGGAUGACGUCAAAUCAUCAUGCCCCUUAUGACCUGGGCUACACACGUACUACAAUGGGAGUUAAUAGACGGAAGCGAGAUCGCGAGAUGGAGCAAACCCGAGAAACACUCUCUCAGUUCGGAUCGUAGGCUGCAACU
rnacentral:rRNA from 1 species